rnacentral:lncRNA from 1 species
GGCUUAUAACCUUGUUAAAUGGGUUCAUAAAAUCAAAAUACAGGCAUAUUUGUUUUCACGAUAAAAUUGUGUUCAACCGACUAGAUUAAAAAGUAAACGCAAAUAUACUGUAUUGAUUUUGUCAACAAGUAAUGAUAUUGCUGUUACUUUGGAAUUCAAAUAUAAAUGUUUAAAGAGGAAUAACUCUCUGUGUUUGCAAUGUCUAUCGAAAGAAUGCAUUUGAAAUUUAAGUGAAAUACGCAACAGUUGUUUAGAUAAGAACAU